GCAAGUAGAACGCAGAGGUCAGGUGCUUGCACUGGACUGAUGAGUUGCGAACGGGUGAGUAACGCGUAGGUAACCUACCUGAUAGCGGGGGAUAACUAUUGGAAACGAUAGCUAAUACCGCAUAAAAGCCAAUGACCCAUGUCAUUGGCUUGAAAGAAGCAAACGCUUCACUAUGAGAUGGACCUGCGUUGUAUUAGCUAGUUGGUAGGGUAAAGGCCUACCAAGGCGACGAUACAUAGCCGACCUGAGAGGGUGAACGGCCACACUGGGACUGAGACACGGCCCAGACUCCUACGGGAGGCAGCAGUAGGGAAUCUUCGGCAAUGGGGGGAACCCUGACCGAGCAACGCCGCGUGAGUGAAGAAGGUUUUCGGAUCGUAAAGCUCUGUUGUUAGAGAAGAACAGUGAUGGGAGUGGAAAGUCCAUCAUUUGACGGUAACUAACCAGAAAGGGACGGCUAACUACGUGCCAGCAGCCGCGGUAAAAGUAGGUCCCGAGCGUUGUCCGGAUUUAUUGGGCGUAAAGCGAGCGCAGGCGGUUUGAUAAGUCUGAAGUUAAAGGCAGUGGCUUAACCAUUGUAUGCUUUGGAAACUGUUAAACUUGAGUGCAGAAGGGGACAGUGGAAUUCCAUGUGUAGCGGUGAAAUGCGUAUAUAUAUGGAGGAACACCGGUGGCGAAAGCGGCUCUCUGGUCUGUAACUGACGCUGAGGCUCGAAAGCAUGGGGGAGCAAACACGAUUAGAUACCCCUGGUAGUCCAACCCCGUAAACGCCUGAUUGCUCCGUGUUAGG
rnacentral:rRNA from 1 species